rnacentral:rRNA from 1 species
AUUGAACGCUGGCGGCAGGCCUAACACAUGCAAGUCGAGCGGGGUUUUCGGACCUAGCGGCGGACGGGUGAGUAAUGCGUAGGAAGCUACCCGAUAGAGGGGGAUACCAGUUGGAAACGACUGUUAAUACCGCAUAAUGUCUACGGACCAAAGUGUGGGACCUUCGGGCCACAUGCUAUCGGAUGCGCCUACGUGGGAUUAGCUAGUUGGUGGGGUAAUGGCUCACCAAGGCGACGAUCCCUAGCUGGUUUGAGAGGAUGAUCAGCCACACUGGAACUGAGACACGGUCCAGACUCCUACGGGAGGCAGCAGUGGGGAAUAUUGGACAAUGGGCGCAAGCCUGAUCCAGCCAUGCCGCGUGUGUGAAGAAGGCCUUCGGGUUGUAAAGCACUUUCAGCGAGGAGGAAGGGCAGUAAGUUAAUACCUUGCUGUUUUGACGUUACCGACAGAAUAAGCACCGGCUAACUCUGUGCCAGCAGCCGCGGUAAGAC